rnacentral:rRNA from 1 species
CUCAGAUUGAACGCUGGCGGCAGGCCUAACACAUGCAAGUCGAGCGGUAGAGAGAAGCUUGCUUCUCUUGAGAGCGGCGGACGGGUGAGUAAUGCCUAGGAAUCUGCCUGGUAGUGGGGGAUAACGUUCGGAAACGGACGCUAAUACCGCAUACGUCCUACGGGAGAAAGCAGGGGACCUUCGGGCCUUGCGCUAUCAGAUGAGCCUAGGUCGGAUUAGCUAGUUGGUGAGGUAAUGGCUCACCAAGGCAACGAUCCGUAACUGGUCUGAGAGGAUGAUCAGUCACACUGGAACUGAGACACGGUCCAGACUCCUACGGGAGGCAGCAGUGGGGAAUAUUGGACAAUGGGCGAAAGCCUGAUCCAGCCAUGCCGCGUGUGUGAAGAAGGUCUUCGGAUUGUAAAGCACUUUAAGUUGGGAGGAAGGGUUGUAGAUUAAUACUCUGCAAUUUUGACGUUACCGACAGAAUAAGCACCGGCUAACUCUGUGCCAGCAGCCGCGGUAAUACAGAGGGUGCAAGCGUUAAUCGGAAUUACUGGGCGUAAAGCGCGCGUAGGUGGUUUGUUAAGUUGGAUGUGAAAUCCCCGGGCUCAACCUGGGAACUGCAUUCAAAACUGACUGACUAGAGUGUGGUAGAGGGUGGUGGAAUUUCCUGUGUAGCGGUGAAAUGCGUAGAUAUAGGAAGGAAC